rnacentral:rRNA from 1 species
CCUACGGGCGGCAGCAGUGAGGAAUAUUGGUCAAUGGCCGGAAGGCUGAACCAGCCAAGCCGCGUGGGUGAAGAAGCGCCUCGGCGCGUAAAGCCCUGUCAGCAGGGAAGAAAAUGACGGUACCUGAAGAAGAAGCCCCGGCUAACUACGUGCCAGCAGCCGCGGUAAUACGUAGGGGGCAAGCGUUAUCCGGAUUUACUGGGUGUAAAGGGGGCGCAGACGGCGAUGCAAGCCAGGAGUGAAAGCCCGGGGCCCAACCCCGGGACUGCUCUUGGAACUGCGUGGCUAGAGUGCAGGAGGGGCAGGCGGAAUUCCUGGUGUAGCGGUGAAAUGCGUAGAUAUCAGGAGGAACACCGGUGGCGAAGGCGGCCUGCUGGACUGCAACUGACGUUGAGGCCCGAAAGCGUGGGGAGUAAACAGGAUUAGAUACCCUAGUAGUC